GGCAGUAGCUCAGUGGCAGAGUGCUUGCCUAGCACGUGUGAGGCCCCGGGUUCGAUCCCCGGCACCA
rnacentral:tRNA from 1 species